rnacentral:rRNA from 1 species
AACGAACGCUGGCGGCAUGCCUAACACAUGCAAGUCGAACGAGAUCUUCGGGUCUAGUGGCGCACGGGUGCGUAACGCGUGGGAAUCUGCCCUUUGGUUCGGAAUAACAGUUGGAAACGACUGCUAAUACCGGAUGAUGACGAAAGUCUAAAGAUUUAUCGCCAGAGGAUGAGCCCGCGUAGGAUUAGCUAGUUGGUGUGGUAAAGGCGCACCAAGGCGACGAUCCUUAGCUGGUCUGAGAGGAUGGUCAGCCACACUGGGACUGAGACACGGCCCAGACUCCUACGGGAGGCAGCAGUGGGGAAUAUUGGACAAUGGGCGAAAGCCUGAUCCAGCAAUGCCGCGUGAGUGAUGAAGGCCCUAGGGUUGUAAAGCUCUUUUACCCGGGAUGAUAAUGACAGUACCGGGAGAAUAAGCCCCGGCUAACUCCGUGCCAGCCGCCGCGGUAA